UGAGUUUUACCUAUUACUUAACAUUAAAAAAUGGCCAACAUUUAAGUGCCCCUGAAAGACAGUUCAGCAUUGACAUUAGGCGUGACCCGAACCGCUGAGCCUCCGCAGGAUGUGGAUGAUGGGCAGUUGGCUCGGUGCACUCAUUGGCUGAGCAACGCUUUCAUCAGUCAUUGCACCGCCCACAAUGAGGGGAUUCCGCCUCACACCUGAGCAGAAUCACUAGUGACUGUAUGUAUUUCGUGGACUUGAAGGCUCCAUGUCUAAUUGGCAAAACCUUAAGUAUAAAAUCCCGACCAGAGGUCGCCUUUAUUUCCUGCUUUCUCUCUGCCUUUCACAGAUGCUCUAAAGGGAGCAGAGAUCAGAAUUGUGAAGCCCCAUGAGCAUCUUACACUUAAGAGUGGUGACCUGGAUUAGUUGGGUGUGUUUCUUGUUUGAGUAGAGAAUGAGGUACUAACCUUCUUGUCCUCUCCCAGUUUGCCAUUUUCAGCAGAAGAUUCUGCCCACAUACAAGACCAUUACACACUCCUGGAACGUCAGAUCAUUAUCGAGGCAAACGAUCGGCAUCUAGAAUCAGCGGGACAGACUGAGGUCUUCCGGAAGCACCCCCGCAAAGCGUCCAUCCUCAAUAUGCCGUUGGUGACGACGCUCUUCUACUCCUGCUUCUACCACUACACGGAGGCUGAGGGGACGUUCAGCAGCCCGGUCAACCUGAAGAAGACAUUUAAGGUAUAUAGACAUUUGGCAGUGUUUAGUAAAAGUAGUAUCAGAAUCACUCUAUGGAGUGGAUGUUGCUCUGUAACCCUGCGCAGUAAGUCCCAUGACAUUCAAGGGUCAGGGAGAAUGGAGUGAAUCUGUGGGAAGUGAGGGAAGGCCUUAACUGAAUGGCCUGCAGC